rnacentral:lncRNA from 1 species
UAAGGAGGCACUCAAAUGGUCUAGAGUAACCCAUACUCACAAGAACCAAGAUUAAGGGACAAAAAACAUAAAACCCAUGAACUAAUUAGAUCUAACAAAUGGAACAUCAAGAUGCAAGCUUUAUACCUUCUGGAGAAGGGUGAUGAAGUGCAAAUUCCGGAUCUACAAAGCUUAGAGCUCACACUUGAUUAUCCAAUGGACUCCUUCUUUAGGAAUGCACCUAAAAAUCACACUAAUGCUUUCAAAACUCACAAUUGGUGGCUAUGGUUUCAAAGGAACGGUUUGAGGUGAUGGAGGUUGGUAAUGUGAAGGGUUCCAAGAAGUUAGAUCCCUUAAAUAGGGACCAAAACCUUAGGCUUAGGGUUUUGGUCAGAAUCAACUACGCGAGGUGUAGCUUAAUUUACACCGUGCAUAACUCAUUAAAAUCGCGAUUUGAUUUCAGCAUCUACGCCGUGCGUAGGGCAAAAAACCCCAACUUCCAAUUCAACUUCAAACAACCAUAAUUUGUUCCUUUCAACUCAGUUUUUGGUAUUCUUUAUAUGCAUAGAAAGAUAUUCUAGAGCCCCACAACCUUGUCUAGUUACUUUUGACUAAAAACAUAUCGAAAUAAAAUCAUUAAUUCAUGCAAGAAACCCGAGAUAUCACCAUUCAAAAUUUACCCUUUGAUUCAAAGCAUAAAUCGAGAGUUUUAAUCACUUAAUCCAACAUUACCAACAUUCGAAAAGGGCCUAAACCCUAUUCCUUUGAAGCCCAACACCAUCACUUGAUCAAAUUCCGGCUUAAUGUCUCGAAAUUAGAACAUCACUAAAACCAGGUGUUACAGACUGGAUUAUAAGUGAUGGUAAACUAAGUUUGCUUGGAUAUACCAAAAUUUUGCUUUUUGCUGGGUAACUUGAUGAAAUUUAAAAAUAAAUAAUAAUUUUCAUGUUGCUUCUUAAUCUUAUAAUAUAAAUAAGACAAUAUUAUUAACUUUUGUUAUGAGCAUUUUUAAUGUUGUAAUCUCUUUUAAUAAUUAAAAAUUUUCAUUUCAGGUUGCAAUGGAAACUCUUCCUCUAUAGUUGGUUCACUCUCAGUGAUCUGUUUUGUUUAUACAAUGCAAGUUUUCAUGAGUCAGGAUUUGAUUGGAUCCUUAUUUUCCCUUCUUAAAUCCAUCUCACGAUGGAAGUCUAAAGUUGCUACACAUUCAUCUCCAUCGAAUCCCACCAAAAAGCAAGACAAAUCUGGAUAUACUUACUGGUUAUAGUGUUUGUUGUGAUUUACAGGUAUUUGGUACCCUAGAUUCUUUCUCGCAAUGUCCAAAAAGGAUAAAGUGGUGCAACUUAUAAAAAAGAUAAAGAGGUGCAACUUAUUUGUCUUUUGUUGUAUCUAAUUAAACUUAUUUGUAAAUUUAGUAAUUUAACAAUCGAAAGUGUGUAAUUAUAUUUUAAUCAAACACCUUUUAUCCCACGCAAUGCGUGGGAUACCCUUGUAGUUUAUACUAAUAUUAUGAGGCCUACAUGUGAGUACUAACAAUAUAAGAAACAAAGUGGACCAAAAAAAUAUAUGUUAAGGGAAAUAACAUAAAAGAAAAUAAGUUUUAUAAAAUUUUAAUUUUAACAUCUCAUCAUAUUUUUUAAUAAUUAAGACAUCAAGUUUUCACAAAGUUUAAUAUAAGAUAUUAUAUUUUUGAAUUUGUUUCAAUGUUGACCAUUUGUCCAGUCAAUCAAGUUGUUAAGUGAUAUGACAUGGUGAUGUAUCAAUAUUUGAUGAUGUGACACUGACAUACAUGAUGACGUGACCCUUUUUUGGUGACAUCACUUUUAGGGUGUAAAAAUUGAAAAAUAAAAUAAAUGUAGUGACUUAAUUGAAAAUAAAACACAAUGUCAAAAUUGAACUUUUUUUAACACUUAGUGUUUUUUUUGUGUAAUUUACCCUUAUUAUAACUAAAUAAUUAGGAUUUGUUGGAGUUGUUGGAAACCCUAUGUAGGCAAGCUUUUGAAACAAAACAACAAAAUAAAAUUGACACCUAUAGAUGCGGUGCUCCAUGCUAUUUGUUUGUAUUCCAAUCUCCAUCUCCUGAAUUUUCCUCGAUAAUUUCUUGUUUUUAAUUUGCCAUUAAUCUUUAAUCUACCAUGAAGCCCAUAAAUAAUCUAUCUACCUUAUUGUAUUUAUGUUUUAUUGGCAUAAUUGUCAAGCUUCUAGUCAGAANNNNNNNNNNNNNNNNNNNNNNNNNNNNNNNNNGGGGGUAAAUACCCUUUGUAGGACUUAUUGGAGGGGUUGGAGACCCUUUGUAGGCAUGAUUUUGGAGCAAAACAAAAUAAAAGACUAUAUGGUUUCGAGCGGUGGAUUUCGUAAGAAGAUGAAUAUUAAGACAAGAAGUUCUCGUGACCACCAUUUUGAGGCUACAAAAUCUAGGCAUUAAUUGAUAUCAUAAAUCUGUAACGAACGAAUAAUCAAAACAUUUUAUUUCGAAAAGAAUGUGAUUACCAAACCAUGAUAGCUGAUGAACAACAAACUAGAACUCGUUCAUACCUAUACGUGCAUCCAUGGAGAAAGACACAUAAAUAUAAUUACACAACGAUGAUUAUUCGAAAUAAAAAACCAUCAACAUCAAAUAGAACGAUUUUGUCAAAUUAAACGUCUUAACAUCACCAACGGGACCCAUCUUUAAAUUAAAGAUCAAAACCCAACACAGAAGAACAUUGAAACAUAAAAUGAGUGAAUAGAUCAUGAGUCCUAAUUAUUAAGUUAUAAUAAGGGAAAAUUGCACAUAAAACACAAAGUGUUCAUAAAAGUUCAAUUAUGACACUAUGUUUUGUUUUCAAUUAAGUUGCUACUUUUAUUUUCAAUUUUGACACCCAUAAUUUCAUAUCGCCAAAAAGUGUCAUGUCAUCAUGCAAUGUCAAGUGUCACGUCAUCAAAGAAUGGCACGUCAUCAUGCUACGUUAGUUGGCAAUUGGAUUGACUUAUUAAAUCGUCAACAUUGAAACAAAUUGAAAAAUAUAGUGUUUUUUUAUCAAACUUUAUGAAAAUUUAAUGUCUUAAUUGUAAAAAAGCCAUGGUUUCAAAAUCGAGAUUUUAUGAAACUUAAUGUAUUUUAUGCUAUUUGCCCUUUACAAUAUAUUAAAAUUUAAAAAUAGUAUUUUGGAAAAAUAAAUUCAUUGCCAUUCUGAUUUACAUUUUGAUUUCUAUCGUCGUAUUUAACAAAAAAGUAAGUAUUAAAUACAUUAGAUUAAUAAUUAUAAAGUGAUAGUAUUAAGGAGUUAUAAUUUUUUACAUCCAAAUUAUAUUAACAAAUUUACAGGGUUGUAAAUUGAAGAAUUUGUGUUAAAAAAUAAGUUGAAAAGUCAUAAUUUUUUUUAAUAAUUAUGGUCGAAAUUACAUGAUAUUUAUUAUAAUAGAUAUCUGUCAUCAUACUAUACUAUAAAGGAAACAUUUUUCCUUUCACCACAUUCAUUUGAAACUUUCAUGCAUUUUUCUUUCACCUCAUUCACUUGAAACUCCCAUUACUUUUCAAUUUCUUUCUAAUAAUGAUUAUAAGUUGGUUAAUAAGGUUAAAUAAAUAUCGAACCUAAAGUGUAAUUAUAUAUAAACUAAAUUUCAAUAUUAAAAAAUAUCUUUAAUUCUACAUAUAAAGUUAUGUUUUUUAGCUUUUUGAUGGUUUUUUUAUGCAUAAGAACAAUCCUAUGUACUCAUACAAACCCUAAUGCUUGGAUUGUAACGCCCAAAUUCUGGUAUGCUAUUUAAUUAUGUUUUAGUCAAAUAGUUUUUUAAAAGGAACUCGGCGAGUCAGUAGCCCAACUCGUCGAGUAGAGACGGGUUCCCGAGCACGUGUAGUUAGGCGACUCGACGAGUCCAUAUUCAGGACUCGGCGAGUCCGCCAGUCUGGAAGAAACCCUAAAUCCGCGGGUUUGUACCCUAUUUAAACAACUUUUAGGGCAUCCAUUAGCCCCCUCACCCACAUAAAAGCCUCACAUGAAAACCCUAGCCUCCCUUAUCAUUUUGGUGUGAUUUUUCCUCACUUUGUGAAGUUGUGAUUCAUUGGUGAAUUAGAAGAAGACAAGAGAAGAGGAGGAAUCAAGGAAGAAGCAAGUAGAUCUGAGUUCUUGGUGGUAUCACAGUCUUUAUUGAGGUAUUAGCCCCAAACCCUUAUUCUUCUUCAAGUAGAUCUCAUAAGUAGCUUGUUUUUGCCAUUUUGGCUUAAUAGUGUUAUGGAGACCAGGUGGUGUCGAAUAGCCUUCGGAUCUACCAAGAUUGGAGCUCUAGAAGCUCAGAUCUAUUGCUUUUAUGGAACCAUUUUGCAUGAGGACCCUAGAUCUACCCCUUUUAGUGCAUUUUGAGCCUUUAAACCUUUAUGGAUGCUUAUGUACACGUAAAGUUGGAAACUUUACGUGUCAAUCAAGCCUUAGGAACCCAUAUCUAUAAGUUGGAUGCACUGGAUUCGAGCAUAAUCGACUGUAUAGAAGUUUCAUGCAACCGACUUGGCGAGUCGUUCUUCGGAAUCGGCGAGUCGAGUCGCGAGUCCCUGAUGUUUCUUUUUGUGAGUUAUGCCGAGUGGAACCAGUGGGUUGUAGAUGGACUCAGAGAGUCGGAGAUCAGACUCAUUCAUGGAGGGACUCGGCGAGUCAAUGCCCUAACUCGGCGAGUCUAAGACAAUCUUCAUAUCUCAAGAACAGACUCGGCGAGUUGUUCAUACAACUCGGCAAGUCAUAGUCAAAUUGUUCAUCUGAUAAAGGAGAACUCGACGAGUUGUUCAUACAACUCGGCGAGUCAGAUGCAGAUUGACUGAAUGUUAGUAUCGAAGAGGAACUCGUCGAGUCUAUGUCAAACUCGACGAGUAGUAGCGGGCAAGAUUGAGAGAUGAGAAUAGGGAAUCGACGAGUUGGCGGCCCAACUCGACGAGUCAGGUCAAUUGUAUGUUGACUUAGACAGAGGAUUGAAUUUGACUUGGGGUAAAAUGGUCAUUUUACCCUCAGUAUGGUUAUCAGUAUUUGAUUGAGUGUACUUAUAGAAAUUGUACCCGGGGUGAAACUGGAGCCGCAGCAGACAGAUUCCAGAGCAGUUCAUUCAACAGCUAGACUACGAGGUGAGUCUUCCUUCCAGUAGGAACGGGUCUACGACCACAAUGUCGGCCUGUUAGUUAGCAGUAGUUCUGGACCUUGGUCCGAUGCAGUAGUUAGAUUGCUUGAUGUCUUUGUGAUUCAAGUAUGUUGUGUAUUAUGUGUUCCGGACUUCGAUCCGAUGCAGUAUGUAGUAUAUGUGCUUAUGCCAGUUGAUAUGUUUAUGUUAUGCCAUGUUAUGCUCAGUCAGUUUCCGGACUUCGGUCCGAUGCAGGGGACAAGGUCCCAGUCAGUUUUGGUUUUCGGUCCGAUGCAGUUAGUUCCGGACUUUGGUCAGAUGCAGGGUACAAGGUCCUAGUUAGUUCCGGACUUCGGUCCGAUGCAGUUUCCAGGCUUCGGUCUGAUGCAGUGGGCAGGGCCCUGGUUAGUUCCGCACUUCGGUCCGAUGCAGUGGGCAAGGCCCAGUAUGUGUUUAUAUGUUAUUGUAUGGUAUGUGGUAGUUUGGGGGAGCUCACUAAGCUUCAUGCUUACAGUUUCAGCUUUGAUUUCAGGUACUUCCACAAGUAAAGGGAAGAGCUCGGGAUGAUGGCAUCGCACACACCACAACUUCAGUUUUUGUCCUGGGAGUCGAUUAGCUUUUCAUUGACAUGAUUCGAUACAAUCUUGAUACAGUUUUCUUGUGAUACUUUGUUAUGGUUUUGGAUACAUUGAUGUAUGGGUUUUAUUUUAUGGUAUUGAUCUAAUGAUUUUAGUAAUGAUUAAACAAAAAAUUUUGGGUCGUAUUUUGGGAUGUUACAUGGAUCUAGGUUUCUCUAUUGAACAUGCAAUGAAUCCAAGACUUGCAAACCCUAAUCUAGCAUACAUAAUUUCGAAAUUAGCUAAUUACAUCAGAUCUAGAUGUUUACUUCUUCAAAUAGCGGCUUGAAUAUUCUUUUCUUGAGCUUAGAGUCACAAGUGUAACUCCUCUAAUGGCUUACAAACACCACAAGCAAGAAGGCAACUUUGAGAGAGGAGGGAGGAUGCUAAUUUUCGGCCCUAGGGUUUCUCUUGGAAUCAAGUGGCCGGAAAUUGAAGGCUAGGGGCCUUAUUUAUACUGUAGGCUGCUAGGGUUUCAGUCUAAACUCUAAUGGACAGCUUAGUCACCAAAGAACCCAAGGAACCUUCUGGAAUAAGGCCUUGGAUGAAAAUAUGAUGAUCCUUCAUCAUAAUUUCGUUCCCCCUUAGUCCAUUAGGUUUCCUAGCCCGAAACACAACUAUCUCACAUUUGACAGUUUAUGCCCCUUUAUUUAAUUAAUCUCCUUUAGCCACCAAAUUAAUUCCUAAUUAAUUUAUGACUAAUACUAACUAAAUAAAUAUGAUUUCUCCUUUAAUAUAUUAUUCUUAUAAUAUAUUAAUAAAUCAUAUUAUCCUCUCUUUCUCUCUCAUCAAGUUACCCUGUCAAGUUGCUUUGGUGAAGACAACCCAAAAGGACCAUGCACAACCCGGUCAAGUACAUACCAAAUAUAGUUACGGGCUUAGACACUAAUCCAACAGUCUCUCACUUGGAUAAGUGUAAUAAAUACAUCUCGCAUACGACUUCAAAAUCCGGUUUAGCAAUCGUAGCUCUUAUACGCUGCUGUCAACUCUAAUCAAAAUCUUGUCCUUUAGAUAAGGGAUCAUUUAAUCCUCUAUUCUAGAUAUCAUGCUGACAAUCACAUGGAACAUAGUCAUACUUAUUGUUCAGCAUAUUGUUCCUCGAUCUAUGAUUUGUUUGACAUAGAACUUAGUUGAACACAUCAACUUUGUCCUGACCGGGCCCGACACAUAAGUCAAACCAAAUCAUCAAGUGGCCAGACAUCACUUUUAUCCUCUUAGAAUAAAAGGAACAGACAAACUUCGACUUAUAUGCUUUUAUUAUUCACUGGCUAAAUCAUACACAACAAUGUGUUUUAUAACAUCAAGUUACUGAUGCGUUUACGCAUUGUCAAUGAACAACUAACCAAUAGACAAUAACCAUAUCUCUAGGUUUAAAGAUUAUAUGAGAUUAUCGUCUUGCGAUCACUCGUGAUAAAUUUCAUGAAGUGAUACAAGCAAGUGCGGGUUUAUUCCAAUGCUCAAAUCACAAUUCAUAAGCACUCUUGAACUUUGCAGCAAACCUUUGCCAUGUCCAAAACCUUUUAGACAAUCUUCAAACAAAUUCAUGAUAGUCUUCUUUCAUAUCUACUUCCAACAUAUGAACGACUGUGGACUGUUUGAAUAAUCUUAUCAUUCAGGAAGUCAAAACAUGCAAAAUUGAAACAAUAGAUAAAUAAUCAACACAAGAUAGUAUCUUUACUUAUAAAUAACACACCUUUAUUUAUUCAUCAAAUGUCAAGUACAAAUUUAUCCAUUACACGUUUCCUAUCUAAUCUAAACUUAUCGUCCUUCAGCCCAAUGCUCCUAGCGUGCUGCAAGUGCUUAACCCUACUCAGUCCCUUCGUAAGGGGAUCUGUUGGGUUAUCUUUUGACGAUACCCUCUUCACUACGAGGAGUCCCUCUUCUACCCGAUGUCUAAUGAAAUGGUAUUUUCUGUCGAUAUGUCUGGAUCUGCCGUGAUCCCUUGGUUCCUUGGUUAAGGCAACCGCUCCUUCAUUAUCAUAGAAAAUCUCCAUGGGCUCCUUUAUGGAUGGCACAACUCCAAGGUCUUCAAUGAAGUUCUUCAAGCAUAUUGCCUCUUUCGACGCUUCACUUGCUGCAAUGUACUCUGAUUCACACGUUGAAUCAGCCACAGUCUCCUUCUUGGAACUUUUCCAAGUCACUGCUCCUCCGUUAAGGGUAAAGACCCAGCCUGAAUGCGAAUGGUAAUUAUCCCGAUCCGUCUGGAAACUAGCAUCACUGUACCCUCGUACCCUCAAGUCAUCACUCCCACCGAGGACUAGAAACCAUUCCUUGGUCCUCUGAAGGUACUUAAGAAUAUUCUUGACAACAAUCCAAUGCGCUUUACCAGGGUUCCCUUGAUAUUUGCUGACCAUGCUCAAAGCGAAGGCCACAUCAGGGCGAGUACAAGUCAUAGCGUACAUGAUAGAGCUAACUGCAGAAGUGUAAGGUACUCGGCUCAUAUCAGCUAUUUCUGCCUCUGUACUCAGGCAUUGGGUCUUACUCAACUUGGUAUUACUUUGGAUUGGCAACUCCCUUUUCUUGGAAUUUCCAUACUAAAACGCUUUAGUACCUUACCCUUAUCCAAGUAUGUAUCCUGACUGAGUCCUAUCAGUAUUUUACUUAUGUUUCUUACUAUCCUUAUUCCCAGUAUAUAUGCAGCCUCUCCGAGGUCCUUCAUAGAGAUACACUUCCCAAGCCAGGACUUGACCUCCUGCAAGGUCGGGACGUUGUUUCCUAUGAGCAGUAUGUCAUCGACAUACAAUACGAGGAAGCUUACUGAACUCCCACUGGCCUUGACAUACACACAUGACUCAUCUUCGCUUUGCAGAAAGCCAAACUCUUUGACCUUCUCGUCAAAACAAAGAUUCCAUCUGCGAGACGCUUGCCUUAUUCCAUAAAUGGAUUUCUCAACCUUACACACUCUAUUUGGAUGCUUCGCAUCGACAAAACCCUCUGGCUGAUUCAUGUAAACAUCCUCAACCAACUUUCCAUUAAGAAAAGCGGUUUUCACGUCCAUCUGCCAUAUUUCAUAAUCAUGAAAUGCAACUAUUGCGAGCAUCACCCUAAUAUACUUUAUCUUAGCAACCGGUGAAAAGGUCUCAUCAUAGUCAACUCCAGGAGUUUGAGUAAAGCCCUUUGCAACCAAUCACGCUUUAUAAGUGUGCACAUUCCCAUCCAUGUCUGUCUUCUUCUUGAAGAUCCAUUUUCACCCGACUGUCUUACGACUCGGCACAUUAUCAACCAAAUUCCAAACUUGGCUGUCGUACAUGGAUUGAAUCUCGCUGUCCAUUGCCUCCUUCCAUUUAGCAAACUCUGGGCCUGCCAUGGCUUCCUUGUAGCUGCUAGGUUCGUCCAAGUUUACUAGUGUACUAUCACUAAUAAAUGUAUCCCCUUUAGUAGUAAUAUGGAAUCCAUAUAACUGGGGUGGAGCACUAGCCCUACUGGAACAUCUAAGAGGUAAGGACUCGUCAACAGGUUCAACAUGAGUUUCCUCCUCAGGUUGAUUGCCAGUAUUAGAGGUUCCUUCAUCGCUUUGUUCUUGAAUCUCUUCAAGAUCAAUUUUCCUCCCACUGUCCUCUUGGCUUAUGAGUUCUCUUUCUCGGAAAACCCUUCUCCUCGCAACGAAGACAACAUUGUCACUCGAUCUGUAGAAGAGAUAGCCAAAGGACUUCUGUAACACUUCUCACUACGAGGUUCGAGCUUGUCGUGAGUUUCUCGUCUUAUGAAAGCCUCGCAACCCCAAAACUUGAUAUGUGCGAAUGAGGGAGCUUUCCCUGUCCACAUUUCGUGAGGUGUUUUGGUAACCUUCUUGGUGGGAACUAAAUUAAGGAUAUGGGCGACCGUCUCUAAGGCGUACCCCCAAAAAGCUAUUGGUAAUGAAGCCCGACUCAUCAUAGAACGAACCAUGUCCAACAAGGUCCGAUUACGUCUCUCAGCCACACCAUUCAAUUGUGGCAUUCUUGGAGGCGUCAAUUGCAAAACGAUUCCGCAUUCCUUUAUAUAGUCGUGAAACUCAAGACUUAGGUAAUCUCCUCCUCGGUCUGACCAAAGCAUCUUGAUUUUCCUGCCCAGCUGAUUUUCCACUUCAUUCUUAAAAUCUUUGAACUUUUCAAAGGUUUCUGAUUUUUUGCUUGAUUAAGUAGAUAUAUCCAUAUCUGCUAUAAUCAUCCGUAAAAGUCACGUAGAAAUGGCAAGCAUCCUUUGUGGUGGAUCUAAAGGGCCUACACACAUCAAUGUGUAUGAGAUCCAAUAGACCCUUACCCCUAUCACAAGUGUCAGUAAAGGGUGACUUGAUCAUCUUCCCAAGCAAACAAGAUUCACACACGUCAUCAUCCCUAAGGUCGAAUGACUCCAACACUCCAUCCUUUUGGAGUUGGGCUAUGCGUUUCUUGUUCACAUGGCCAAGGCGACAAUGCCACAAGCAUGAUUUGUAUAAACUAUUAGACAAAUCAACAUUCAACACAUCAUUUCCUAAAUUGUCUACAGCCAACACAGAUUCAUAUAUUCCAUUACAAGGAAAUGCAUUGAAAAAAAAACACCAUUCAAAUAAAAAAUAAUAGAACCAUUACUAUUUUCAAUUGAGUAUCUGAAACCUUGUCUAUAUAAUCCAUGAAAAGAAAUGAUGUUUCUUGCCAUAUCUGGCGAAUAGCAACAAUUAUUUAAAUCUAAUCCUAACCCAUUACUCAACACUAAAUAAUAAACUCCGACUUUGGUCACAGGCGACGAUCUUCCGUUUCCCAUAAUCAAGUUUAUCUUCCCAUGUUCCACCUCCUUACUUCUUCUUAGGCCUCGCAAAUCAGAACAAAUGUGGAAACCACAUCCUGUAUCAAGAACCCAUGAAGUAGCAAGUGAUGAGUUGGUAGAUUUAAUAGAAUACAUACCUGCAUAGGUGGGCUUUAUCUUCCCAUCUCUAAUGUCCUGCAGAUAUUUGGGGCACCUUCAUUUCCAGUGGCCCUUCUCGUGGCAAUAAAAACACUCUGCUUGUUUAGGGUCAGAGGAGGGUUUAGCAGGACCUGCUUUGGUUCCGCUAGAAGAGGAACCAUCUUGGGACUUUCCUUUUUGGUGACUCUUAGACGGAGCCUUCCACUUCUUACCUCUUCCUUGCCCUAUUGCCAACACAGGGGCCAAAUCAGUAGGAGUUGAUGCAAUAGAUUUAUCCUUUAGGUUGCACUAAACAGUUCUCAACAACCCUUGAAGCUUGCUCAAGGUGACCUCCUCUUUGUUCAUGUGGUAGGUCAUUCUGAACUGGUUGUAGCAUGGAGGCAAGGAGUGGAGAAUGAUAUUGAUAGCCAAAUCCUCAUCAAAGUUAACAUUCAACUUUAGAAGACGAUCAACAUACCUCUGCAUCUUCUGCAGAUGCGAGGUCAAGGAUUCUCCGCUCCCCAUCUUAGCGGUGAUCAUGUUAGUGAUGAUCUCAUAACGCUCUUGCCUCGCGCUUUGGUGAUACCUAUCCAUUAAAUCUUGAUGCAUCUCGAAUGGAUACAUGUCCUCAUAGGACUUCUGGAGUUCAGCAUUCAUAGUCGCGAGCAUGAUGUAAUGAACCUUCGUUGCAUCACGUUCAUGAGCCUCAAAAGCAACGAUUUCUUCAGCAGUGGCAGUUUCUAGAUUGAUCUUUUCAAGCUUCUCGUCAAGGACAUACUCUCUGUCCUCGUAUCGAGUGAUCAUUCGAAUGUUUCGGAUCUACUCGUUGAAGUUGUUGCCAUUAAAGAUCACUUUCCCACACAAAUUCAUGAGUGAGAAUCCACCAGUAGCUGCAGGAGUGUUGUUGUUUGCGUUCGACAUCUGAAAAUAGAAAAGGACAAGUUUGAUUAGAAAGAAUCCCCAAUUAAACACCCAAAUGAAAAAUUAGGGCUAGGAUCCAACAACAUUAUUUACAACUUAGAAAAGGGAUACUGUAAUCUAAAUGCAAAUAAUAUUGAAGGUAAGUGAAUGACGAUUCACUAAUUUCCACCAUGAAAAACGAAAGGAAAUUUAGUUUUAAAUGUAUUUGAAAACUCCUAGAUCUUUGAGAUUCAUUGAACUUUUCAAUGGCAUGUUUAAAUCUCGAUAUGCACUUCAAAUUUGCGACUGGGAUACCGAGGAUCGCAAACAAGUCGUGAAUAACCAUGCGAAUCAACAUGGUUCACCCAAUGUCUCUAUCACCCAAUCAAUGUGUCGGUAAACCACACACGCUCCAUUGAUCUAUGACAAACAUCGAGCCACCCUUCGCCACCAAUGUCAAUCCCAAAUUAGUGUGUCGGUUAACCACGCACUCUCCACUAACGAUUGACAAGGGUGCAAAGUGUAAUUCCAUGGAAUAACAUCAUUUUCACAUUUUACCCUAAAGUAACUAAGAUUGGGAAUUUGAAAAACAUUAUAGUUGCUUUGUAAAUUUAUUAUACUUAUAAUGAGGAAUUAAGUGCCUUAUCCAAUCUGUUCGGCUAACGACCCUCCACCAGUCAAGCAAGCGGUGGGUGUGAGUGUACACCCAUUAAGCGUCAUUUUAUAGGCAACAACCUUAUACCCACCUUAUAGACUGGCUUCGUGAAUGAGGCCUACUAGCGAUAAGACUAGCUUAUUCUUAUACAAAUAUAUUAAUUAAUCUUGUAAUAAUAUAAUAAUAUAGGGUUGAAUUUUAAACUUGUAAAAUUCUAAGGGUUUGAAAUUUAAAUCAUUCAAAAUUAAACUUUUAAUCAUAAAAUUUAAAUUUCAAUACUUGAGGACAAGUUUUGAACUUUUCAAAACACAAGGGAUCAAAUAACAAAUAAUAUAAAUUAAACAAUUAACUUUAUGAUUAUCUAUAUUUGACUUAAUCCAAUUUUAUUUACAAGAUAAUUCAUCAAAUAAAUUAAAUAAUCAAAUAUUAUCACAUAAUUAAUUUAAUAUUUAAAUAUAUGGUAAUUAUCUUUUAAUUUGGUAAGGAUAAUCAUAGCGAAUGUAUAAAAUUCGGAUUUUAUAAUUCAAAAAGAAUUUUGGUAGUUAUCCAAACACAAAAAUAGCCAAAAAACUGAAUUUUGAGCCAUCUGAUCCACAGACUCGUCGAGUAGCAAACUGUACUCGUCGAGUCUGUCUCACAGACUAGACUCACGUCGUGAAUUACAGAGAGUCACGUCGUGAGUUUUUUGAUUUUUCAAAAACGAUUUCCAAAUCAAGCAAUGAACGAAUAUGAUAGCAUCAAAUACAACUGAAACCAAUCAAGCUCUAAUACCACUGAUGGUUUUUUUAUGCAUAAAAACAAUCCUAUGUGCUCAUACAAACCCUAAUGCUUGGAUCUAGGUUUCUCUAUUGAACAUGCAAUGAAUCCAAGACUUGCAAACCCUAAUCUAGCAUACAUAAUUUCGAAAUUAGCUAAUUACAUCAGAUCUAGAUGUUUACCUCUUCAAAUAGCGGCUUGAAUAUUCUUUUCUUGAGCUUAGAGUCACAAGUGUAACUCCUCUAAUGACUUACAAACACAACAAGCAAGAAGGCAACUUUUAGACAGAGAAGAGGAUGCUUAAUUUUGGCCUAGGGUUUCUCUUGGGAAGCAAGUGGCCGAAAACUGAAGGCUAGGGGUCAUAUUUAUACUGUAGGCUGCUAGGGUUUCAGUCUAAACUCUAAUGGACAGCUUCGUCACCAAACAACCCAAGGAACCUUCUGGAAUAAGGCCUUGGAUGAAAAUAUGAUGAUCCUUCAUCAUAAUUUCGUUCCCCCUUAAUCCAUUAGGUUUUCCAGCCCAAAACACAACUAUCACACAUUUGACAGUUUAUGCCCCUUUAUUUAAUUAAUCUCCUUUAGCCACCAAAUUAAUUCCUAAUUAAUUUAUGACUAAUACUAACUAAAUAAAUAUGAUUUCUCCUUUAAUAUAUUAUUCUUAUAAUAUAUUAAUAAAUCAUAUUAUCCUCUCUCUCUCUCUCAUCAAAUUACCCUAUCAAGUUGCUUUGGUGAAGGCAACCCAAAAGGACCAUGCACAACCGGGUCAAGUACAUACCAAAUAUAGUUACGAGUUUAGACACUAAUCCAACACUUUUAACAUAUCAUACUAAACUUAUAAAGGAAACAUUUUUCCUUUCACCACAUCAAUUUGAAACUACCAACUUUUCAUAUUUCCCUAUAAUAUACCUUCUAACUCAAAUAUGUUAUUAAUUAUUAAUAUUAUCAUAAAUGGAAGACUUCUUGAAUUAUCAAUAACUUCAAUAUAUUGUUAAAUGCAUAACCUAAAUUAAUUUAUCAAACAAAAUUAAAAAUAUAUUGUACAAUUUAAAACCUAAAGUAAAAUAUCAAAUAAAGUUUUUAAAAAAACUCAAUGUAUAUUUUUUACAAGAAUUAAAAGAAAAAUAUUAAAUACAAUAAACGUAAAAGAACAUAAAUCUAAAAGUAAACUUAACUAAAAGAUCUCAAAAAACUAUUAUUUAUAAUAAUUGAAAUUUGGUUAAGUUUUUUUUUUAAAUUAAUUUAUAAUAAUAAUAGUUAAAAUAACAUAAAGUUAUAAAUUAAAUUAUGUUACAUCACAAAUAAUGAUUGACAAUUUAAAUAAUCAUCAUGAUGAUGAAAUUAAAAUGUUGUCAAUUUUUCUUUAAAGUUAAUAAGUCAUUAAAUUAGUUAAUAAAAAUAGAUAAGAAAUAUAAUUAAUUUUAUACACACGUAAAGUGUGAGUAGAUACCAUUAAAUGAUUUGAUUUUUGUAAGUGUUAUAUUAUCUAUUGUUCAAAUUGAUUAUAUUGUUACAUUAACUAAAUGUCUAAAUGCAAUAAUAAUUAUUUUUUAGUUAAUAUAAAUGACAAAAAUAUUUUUAAUGACAUAUGAUUACUAAAAGGUUAACUAUACAAUUUUAUUCCGUGCAACGUGCGGAUAUUCGCUUCGUAUCAUAUGAUACUAUAUUAUAAAGUAAACAUUUUUUUUUCUUUCACCAGAAUGAAACUCCCAUGUAUUUUUUCUUUCACCACAUUCAUUUGAAACUCCCAUGACUUUUCAAUUUCUUUCUAAUAAUGAUUAUAAGUUGGUUAAUAAGAUUAAAUAAAUAUAAAACCUAAAGUGUAAUCAUAUAUAAACUAAAUUUCAAUAUUAAAAGAAUAUCUUUACUUCUACUUAUAAAGUUAUUUUUUUUUUAACUUUUAACAUAUUAUACUUAAUUUAUUAGUUUUAAUAUAUUGUUGGAUGUAAACCUUUAUCAUUUUAAAGCUAUAAUUUUUGAACAAUUUGUAUAAAAUACUUCAAUUAUAAAUUUAAAUAUAACAUUACAUGAUCAACUUAAAUAUAAAUUUUAGUUUAACUUAAACAACCAAAAUAAUAUUUUGUGAAUAGUUAAAAGUGAUAAACUAUAGUGUAUUUAUAAUAAUGAUUAUAAGUUAGUUAAUAAGGUUAAAUAAAUAUCAAACCUAAAGUGUAAUCAUAAAUAAACUAAAUAUCAAUAUUAAAAUAAUAUAUUUACUUCUACUUAUAAAGUUAUGUCUUUAACUUUUAACAUAUUAUACUUAAUUUAUUAAAUUUAAUAUGUUGUUGUAUAUAAAUCAUUAUCAAUUUAAGGCUAUAACUUUUGAACAGUUUGUACGAAAUACUUAAAUUGUUAAUUUAAAUAUAUAUCAUUACAGUGUCAAUUUAAAUAUAAAUUUCAGUUAUACUUAAAAACCCAAUGAAUAUUUUGUGAAUAAUUAAAAGUGAUAAAUUGUAGUGCUAAAUGCAAAAAUUAAAUUAUAAUCUCAAUAUAACUAAAAUAUUUGUAUAAUCGUUAAAAGUUUUCAUAUAGCUUAAAAUAACUUACAAUAACAAUAGUUAAAAAUAAUUGUAUAUAAAUGAUUAUAUUGUUACCUUUUAAAUCGAAAAACAAUGUUUUAUAUUUUAAAUAAUUAUAAUGAUAGAAAUUAAAACGUUAAGCAAAUAAAUUUUAAAAAAUUAAUUAACAAUAACAACAAUUAUAAAUAACAUUAAACCAUAUAUUAUAUUUAAUUUUAUUCAUGAGUAACUCGCGGGUAGAAGUCAUUCAAACGGUUGGGAUUAUGCAUUUAUAACAGAUGUAUAUAUUAUCAUAUAAUUAAAAAUAAUUAAUAUAUUAUAUCAGUUUAAUAUACGAAUUAUUAUAUCAAAUUUAAAAAUAACGUUAUUGUUAUAUUAAAAAAAACAUAUAUUUGUAAACAUUUCAACUAUAUAGGUGUUUCUAAGCAACGCGCGGACAUUCACCUAGUACUAUAUUAUAAAAGAAACAUUUUUUCUUUCACCACAUUCAUUUGAAACUCCCAUGACUUUUCACUUUCUCUCUAAUAAUGAUUAUAACUUGGUUAAUAAGGAUAAAAAAAAUAUCAAAACUAAAGUGUAAUCAUAUAUAAACUAAAUUUCAAUAUUAAAAAAUAUAUUUACUUCUAUAUAUAAAGUUAUGUUUUUUAACUUUUAACAUAUUAUACUUAAUUUAUUAAUUUUAAUAUAUUGUUGGAUGUAAACCAUUAUCAUUUUAAAGCUAUAUAACUUUUGGGCAAUUUGUAGAAAAUACUUAAAUUAUUAAUUUAAAUAUAAUAUUACAGGGUCAACUUAAAUAUAAAUUUUAGCUUAUCUUAAACAUCCCAAAUAAUAUUUUAUAAAUAGUUAAAAGUGAUAAAUUAUAGUAAAUUUCUAAUAAUGAUUAUAAUUUGGUUAAUAAGGUUAAAUAAAUAUCAAACCUAAAAUAUAACCAUAAAUAAACUAAAUUUCAAUAUUAAAAUAAUAUCUUUACUUCUACUUAUAAAGUUAUGACUUUAACUUUGAACAUAUUAUAUUCAAUUUAUUAAAUUUAAUAUGUUGGUGUACGUAAACCAUUAUCAGUUUAAAGCUACAAAUUUUGAACAGUUUGGACAAAAUACUUAAAUUGUUAAUUUAAAUAUAACAUUACAGUGUCAACUUAAAUAUAGAUUUCAGUUCCACUUAAAAAACCCACUGAAUAUUUUUUGAAUAAUUAAAAGUGAUAAAUUGUAGUGCUAAAUGCAAAAAUAUAAAUUGUAAUCUCAGUUUAACUAAAAUAUUUCCUAAAAAUAUUUUUAUAAUCGUUAAAAGUUUUCAAAUAAGUAAUUUAAAAUAACUUAUAAUAACAAUAGUUAAAAAUAAGUCUAUAUAAAUGAUUAGAUUGUUACCUUUAAAAUCAAAAAACAUUGUUUGAUGUUUUAAAUAAUUAUAAUGAUAGAAAUUCAAAUGUUAAACAAAUAAAUUUUAAAAUUAACAAUAACAACAAUUAUAAAUAACGUUAAACUAUAUAUUAUAUUUAAUUUUAUUAAUUAGUAACUUGUAGGUAGAAGUCAUUUAAACGAUUGAGAUUAUGCAUUUGUAAUAAAUGUAUAUAUUAUCAUAUAAUUCAAAAUAAUCAAUAUAUUAUAUCAAUUUAGUAUACAAAUUAUUAUAUCAAAUUUAACAACAACGUUAUUGUUAUAUUUAAAUAAACAUAUAUUUGUAAAGAUUUCAACUAUAUAGGUCUUUCUGUGCAACACGCAUGCAUUCGCCUAGUAUACUAUAAAUGAAACAUUUUUUCUUUCACUACCUUCAUUUGAAACUCCCAUGACUUUUCAUUUUCUUUUUAAUAAUGAUUAUAAGUUAUGUUUAACUUAAAGUGUAAUCAUAUAUAAACUAAAUUUCAAUAUUAAAAUAAUAUUUUUACUUCUACUUAUAAAGUUAUGACUUUAACUUUUAACAAAUUAUACUUAAUUUAUUAGUUUUAAUAUGUUAUUGUAUGUAAGCAUUAUCAUUUUAAAGCUACAACUUUGGAACAGUUUUGAUAAAAUACUUAAGUUGUUAAUUUUAAAUAUAACAUUACAGGGUAACAUAAACAUAAAUUUCAGUUUAACUUAAAAAAACCCAAAUAAUAUUUUGUAAAUAGUUAAAAGUGAUAAAUUGUAGUGCUAAAUGAAAAAACAAAAUUGUAAUAUCAAAUUAACUAAAAUAUUUCCUACAUAUAUUUUUAUAAUCAUUAAAAGCUUUCGAAUAGCUAGCUUAAAAUAACUUACAAUACCAAUAGUUAAAAAUAACACUAUAUAAAUGAUUAUAUUGUCAGUAUUAAAAAAAAUGAUUGAUAUUUUAAAUAAUUAUAAUGAUAGAAAUUAAAACGUUAAAGAAAAAAAUUUUAGAAAAUUAAUUAACAAUAACAACAACUAUAUUAAAAUAUAUAUUAUAUUUAAUUUUAUUCAUGAGUAACCCGUAAGUAGAGGUCAUUCAAACGAUUGAGAUUAUGCAGUUUUAAUAGAUGUAUAUUAUCACAUAAUUCGAAAUAAUCAAUAUAUUAUAUCAUCUUAGUACAUGAAUUACUAUAUCAAAUUUAACAACAACGUUAUUGUUAUAUUUAAGAGAACAUAUAUUGUAACGAUUUCAACUAUAUAUGUGUUUCUACGUAAUGCGCGGACAUUCACCUAGUAUAGAUAUAAAUUUUGAAUAAUCGUAACAAUCUUAGAGUGUUAUUUUUCUAGUCAUGAUAACGAGUUAAACCAUUAAAUUUAUUGAGAAGUAAAUGUCCAUAUAGAAAUACCAUACAUGUAGGACAUCAACCGUCACAUGAAACUAAUAAUACUCUAAAACAUUGGCCGAUACAACUAUGGUGAUGGGGGUUUUGUUUCAUCUCUAAAAUGUUAUUCCUUAUAUAUUUAGUUUUAUUUUAUGAACCUAUUAUAUUAUGUUGUAUCUAAGUACUGUUUUCUAAACUGUGCUGAUUGUUCAUUUUUUUCCUUAUGUUGGAGACAAACGGUUUAACAUAUUGUACUUUUUGGGCCACACAACAUGAAAACUUCCUAGGAUCACUCAUCCUAAAACUAUUUUCGUCUGAAACUUCUUAAGUACAAAGUUUUUAUGAGAUCUGUUGUCCUUAGGAAUGUAUACAUGUCUGACCUUGAAAUUUUAGAUGCCUUGUCCCUAAAUAAGAUAUUCAAUUAAGGUCGUAUAAGGUAAUGCUUAGGACCAACAAUGACUUUAAAACUCAUUGUGAUAGUUAGGUAUCCACANNNNNNNNNNNNNNNNNNNNNNNNNNNNNNNNNNNNNNNNNNNNNNNNNNNNNNNNNNNNNNNNNNNNNNNNNNNNNNNNNNNNNNNNNNNNNNNNNNNNNNNNNNNNNNNNNNNNNNNNNNNNNNNNNNUUUUUUUUUUUUUUAUUAUUAUUAUAAAAAGUGAUUUUUAAGAAAAGUGCUUAUUAGCUUAUGAAUUUUAGGAAAAACGGUUUUUAAAAAGUGUUUGGAUAAGAAAAGCUGUUUUUUAGGAGUAAAAUGACUAAAAAGCUGGAGUAAAAAACUAAGAUUUUUUAGCUUUUUGAAAGCCUUAUUUUUCCCAAUCCAAAAAACUGUUUUAAAAAACGUUUUUUUAAAUACAUAAGAGUUGUUUGGAUAGAAAAAAAAAGAUGGUGCUUAUUGCUUAUUCCACAACAAUAAGCUAAGUUUAAGUGUUUGGAUAAAAUCCUUAAAAAUCAACUUAUUGUGUUAAUAAUAAGCUAAAUAAGUUAAUUUUAAUAAGCAUUUCCCCUUUGCUUAUUUGCUUAUUGCUUAAUGCUUAUUUCCAACACAAAUAACUUAAUAAGCUAAUCCAAACACCCCCUUAACUUAUUAGCUUUUUAAAAAGCUAAUAAACUAUUUUCAAAAGUUACCCCAAACACCCACUUACUACAAUAUUGUCUGUUUUAAUCCAUCCGAUUUGAAAACUUCCUAAAGGUCACCUAUCCUUAAACUGAUCUCGCCGAUGCCUCCUUAACCGCAAAUCUUAUAAGAACUCUACGAUAAUAGGGGUGAACAAUGUCAGGAUGAGUGACAACUUUGAAAUUCGUUUAUAUUGGAUGGCUUAAAACGGACAAUAUUCUAUAUGGUAAAUGUGAUAGAAGAUGUUAUUAAGGCCCAUAAGGGAAAAGCUCAUAUCACAAAAUUUUGUAAUUAACAUAUCGUUGUUUAUGUUUAUGUUUUUAGGCUUUACCAUUGGGUAGGUAACGGAAUUUCUAUUAUUCCUACUGGCCAUUGAGUAUGUAACUGAAAUAAGUUACAUAUGUUUUCCUUUCAAGUUUCAAUUGAAAUCCAUCACAACGAAUUGCCUUUGCUGCCGACUCAAAAAUCAACAAUUAUCAAUUCAGGUACGUUUUUCUAUUAUUAUUAAGAAUUGUUAAGGACUUUAGUUGAAUUGUAAUUAUAAACAUAGGGUUUGAUUUGUAUGGUAAAUUAGUUGAUUUUGUUAAUGAUUAUUGAUCAUUAAAUAUUUAUUCAUAUAAUUUUAUAUGAUAUGUAUUGUUUAUUUAAUAUACUUAUAUAAAAAAAUUAUUGAAAAGAAUAAGUUAUUCAACUAUUUAUGUCACAUGUACAAACACGUUUUGGUGGUUCAUAUACUAAUAGUGUAUCAUUAGAGAAUGAUGAAUUGGUUUAUGAUGUUCCAAUCUAUAUUUGUACCUCAAUAUCCAAAUUUCUGCCUCUCGCUACU